AGAAAAUUUGCCUGAAUUGAACUAUGUGCCAGGAUCAUUCGCAGCUAAAGGACGUUCAAUAAUCCACCCGCCAAAUAUUUCUAAGCCUCUAGUACCAGAAAACUUGGACAGAUUAUUUAAUCAAAUUUUCGAUUGGUUAAACUUGGAUCAAAACAUGGCCAAGAAGUAUCACGUAGAUGUUGGAGAUAUAGAAGCGAUUCAAGAAGCAAUAAACAAACAAAAGGGCGUUGUUCGAGAAUUAGAAUUUAAGAAACCUCAGCUAGACGAAUUGAUAAUUCUGUCCGAAGUAUUACAAAUCGACGGAAAUCAUACGAAAUUUCACAGUAAAACCAACGUAUAAUUGAACAACAUUUCUGAACAUAUCAACCAAGAAAAAAUAUGUUUUAUCUACCUCUUUGGCUAAAAAUCACUUUUUGGUACCAAAAAUGGUCAUUCUGUUGACUAGUAAAGGCUUCAAAGUGAAACGCG